rnacentral:sRNA from 1 species
CAUUUGGUAUCUCCAAAAAUUCUAAUGAUAUUGAAAAUAGAAUUGG